UAUAAAUCUGUGUUUCGUGUUAAUCUGUAUUUAGUUUUUAUCUGUACUUAUCUGAUUUAUAAAUAUUUUUAUUUGAUCUUAAGGUUUGGAGUUCAACCUGCAUCAACGACAGAGGAGCUAAUGACGUUUGAAAGGGAACUGGAUGAUUCGAAAUUCUAUGCUGAAGUGGAAUCCAAAAAAGAUGGAUUAUAUGGAGUGUUCAGUAUGGAUCAAGCUAACCUGAGUGAAACCUGAUAGAAGACAUAUUAAUAAAUAUCCAGGAAACCAGAAUGCAAGCAAGCUAGUCAUGAGCAGCAAUAAUCUUCCCCGUCAUCUCGAUAUUCAUGAUUACAAGCACGCCCUUACCGGAGAAUAUAACUACACAGUGCACAGUUCAUGAUAAAUUCAUAAUUACAAUAAUAGUAGUGACUAGGACAGUGAAAGAACUUAAAAGAUGG